GCUGCAGCGUCUACGUCCUCAGAUCGCCGGAAGGAUGGAGUCGGCUGCGGGUUGCUACGUACGAGAACGGACGCUCGAAGCCCCUUAGGACACCAUGGGAAGAACACAACCCAUCUUUUUUAUUUUUUCUCACGUUCUUUCUCUCUCUGUUGCCCUCUCUGACUUCACCUUAUUUUUGGUUUUUCUCUGACAGACUCUCUAUUCAUCUCUUUUUUAAUCUCCUCCCCCUGACUUCAUUUUUUCUUGUUUCUCUCUGACGAGCGUCUCUCCCUUUUUUAAUCUCUUCCUUUCUCUCCAGUCGUGUGUCUCUCUACGAACUCUCUUUUUUUAAUAGUUCUCACAAACCUCUCCAGGGAAUUUUUUCUCUCGAGCUCUCUCUUUUUAAGCCGAGGAUCCUUGCUUAUUUAUAGGCAACAACCGACUUUGGUUGAUUUUAUCCAGAGAAAAAGUGAAGAGCUUGGCUGUGCAUCUUUGGAGCAAGGUGAGGUUGUUGGCAAUGUCGGCAACAAAGUCGUUUUAGGUCCUAAGGGAAGUUGGAAGGCCAGUGCUCUCAGCAGCUUCUCUUAGCUGAUUCCUGAAGAGUCCUCGUGUGCCUUACUAUAAUAGCAAGCUCACUCGAGUGCUACAGAGUUCUUUGGGUAUAUAUCUAUUAUCAAGACUGAAGGGCUUGAGAUAUCACAACCAGCCCUUGAUCCAAUGAAAUCAGAGGUGCAUCACCAAAUCACUGCACGUGGGAGGAGAACAGUUAUUCCCAGGUGAUCUUAUGUCCUACUAUCUUUUGCCAAAGUUUGACUCCAAGACCUGUUUGAUCUCACAAGUGCCUCUUGCUAUACAUAUUAUUCUUCCAAGUCAUUUUGCUUAUUGUUGGAUUGUGCUAACCUCUGUCUAGUGAUGGAUGGUCUCAAAUGCAAAUAUGGAACCAGCAAGCUCACUCAAUUUGUUUAUUAUUGCUUCUAAAAUGCUGUUUGUAUUAUAUUCUCUUCGAUGAAUGACAAGUUUGUUUAUUAUUGCUGCUCAAAUACGAAAUUAGCACUGGGGACGACUUUUCUAAAAUGUGAUUCCCAUCUUGCCAAUCUCAAUCUCUGCAGAAUCAGUCAUGGUUGAUGCAGCAGCUUCCGCAAUAGCAGUCGAAGCGUACAAGGAUGGACGUGGCAUUUUUGGCUACCUCAGUAAAAAAUUUGACUAUGCUGACGAUUUCAAGGUCAAUUUUGAGAAGAUGACCGACCAAGCAAAAAUGCUAUAUGCAAGAAGGGAUGAUGUAGAGGCAGAAAUAAACAGAAACAAGAUGAAGAGGGUUACCAAGGAAUGUGAAGCCUGGAUUGACAGGGUCAAGGUGGCCGAACAAGAAGUACUCAAUUUGGAAAGCAAGUACAUGAAAGAGAUCGUGCGUGCUUGGAGAUACACUCGAAUCUGGUCACGUGCUAAUCUGAGCAAGCAUAUGGCCACAAAGCGUGAGGAAUUGCGAGUCCUCUUAGAAGAAGGAAAGCUUGAUAAUGGGGUGGUAGCUGAAAGAUCCCCGGAGCACGUGAGAGUCAUUGAUACUUGCGGGAUUGAGGAUAAGCCUUCACUAAACUGGGCUGUUGAAGAGAUUUUGGGUAAUUUGAAGGAGAGAAAAAUCAACAGGAUCGGACUCUGGGGAAUGGUGGGAACUGGGAAAACUACGGUGAUGCAGAAUCUGAAUAAUAAUAAAGAAGUUCAGAAAAUGUUUGAUAUUGUCAUUUGGGUAUCAGUGUCGAAGGCCUAGAGCAUUGAAAAGGUGCAAGAUGCAAUCACGCAGCGUCUGAAGCUGAGAUUGGAGGGCGGAGCAAACGCAGUUGAGACAGCUCAACUUAUAUCAAAUGAGUUGGGAGGUAUGAGGUAUUUACUUCUCCUUGAUGAAGUUUGGGAUCCUUUUGAUCUCCAUGAGAUAGGUAUUCCCAACAAUGAUAAUGGCAGCAAGGUGGUAUUUGCAAGUAGAUUCCGUGCUGUGUGUCAUGAAAUGGAUGCUGACGAGUUUGUCAAUAUGAAGCGUUUAUCCGAUGCCGAUGCAUAUGAAAUGUUCAAAGAAAAAGUAGGUCGAACUAUGGAAGAUCCAAGCAUUGUAGCAGUAGCAAAACUUGUGGUUAGAGAGUGUGCUGGUUUGCCACUUGUAAUUGAUAGAGUGGCGAAAGUUUUUGGAAAGAAGGAUGACGUUUCUCUCUGGAGAGAUGAAUUGAGACGUUUGCAGAGAUGGCCGAGUAUCAAAAUCCAAGGCAUGAAUGAAAUGCUCGAAUUCCUCAAGUUCUGUUACGAGGAUUUAGAUGGGGAGGAUCAAAAGGUUUGCUUUCUUUAUGGAGCAUUGUUUCCCGAAGACUCUGACAUAUUUGUGGACUAUCUGGUGGAAUGUUGGAAGGCGGAGGGAUUUCUCCAUAGCUUUGAUGAGUUUCGAGAUGCACGUGAUAGAGGGCACAACAUAUUGGAUAAUCUGAUUAAGGUAUCUUUAUUAGAAAAAAGUGUGAUGAAGAGACAUGUCCGAAUGAACAAAGUACUUCAUAAUAUGGCUCUUAAAAUUUCACGAGGAGUCUCAGACCAUAAGAUCCUGGCAAGACCAUGCGAGGGGCUAAAAAAGCCGCCAAAGGAAGAAGAAUGGAUAUCUGCAAGUCGAAUUUCUUUGAUAGAUAAUGACUUGUGCAGUUUACCGGCAACUUCAAAUUGCAAAAAUCUUUCGACUUUACUCUUGCAAAGAAACAAGAAUUUAAUGAAUAUCCCAGAGAGCUUCUUCUUGUCUAUGCAAAGACUCCGAGUAUUGGACUUACAUGCUACGGCAAUAACAUCCCUUCCACCUUCUUUGCCUUGCUUGACUCAUCUCAGGGCACUCUACUUGAAUUCAUGCAAGGGCUUAAUAGAAAUACCUUCAAGCUUAGAGGCACUGGUGCAUCUAGAGGUGCUUGACAUUCGACGCACCGGAAUCAGCGCUUUACCUAUUCAAGUUGGAAGUUUAACGCAGAUGAGAUGUUUGCGCAUGUCAUUGUCAAAUUUUGACGCCACAAACCCAAUGUCCAUGGUGAUUUCGAGCAUUUCAUCAUUAGAAGAACUCAUGAUUGAUGUAGACCCGAACACUUCGUGGUCUGAUCAGGUCAUGAGGACUAUCACGGAGGAGGUUUCUACCUUGACACGGUUGACUUCACUCACAUUUUCCUUUCCUAAAUAGAGUGCCUUGAAAUCUUCGUCAGAUCAAGCCCUUUAUGGAAGGACCUGCGGUUCACAUUUCAGUUUUCGGUUGGUAUUUGCAAUUCGGUCAAGCAUCAUAUUCUUGAUUAUUUUGAAUAUCAAUUGUGCAAGUGCUUGAAGUACGCAAACGAUGAAGGCAAACAUGAUGUGAUCUCAAAAGUACUUGCUAAGACCGAAGUGUUUGAACUGAUUGAUCACAAGAAUAUAGAGAGCUUAUCAGAUUUUGGGACUGAGAACUUGAGUGAACUCGGAGAUUGUUCAGUGGAGGGCUGCAAGGACAUUACAUGCAUCAUCGAUGGUAACGGAGCACCAGAUUAUGCAUUCAAACUAGAGAGAAUGGUCAUAAACAAUGCCUCAAAAUUGGAUUGUAUUUGGGAGGGUUCCGUGACCGUGGGAAGCUUAGGCCGAAUGACUAGUUUGACCUUUUUCAAUUGCCCUGAGCUCAAGAACGUAUUCUCAAAUGGAUUGAUUGAGCAACUAUCCAUGCUAAAGCAUUUGAGUGUCGAAAACUGCAGCAAAAUUGAGGAGAUCAUCAUUGAAACUGAGAAUCCUUGCUUGGACCCUAGAACACUCCCGAGUCUUGAAACGCUAGUACUUCAUGAGCUUCCGAAUUUAAGAAGCAUUGCUCCAGAUGACUUAUUGAUUUGGCCUUCUCUAAAGAGACUAGAUAUAGCUUCAUGUCCAUCUUUGUUGAAACUUCCUUUUACCAGGAUAAAUGCUACCAAUUAAGAUCCAUUGAUGCCGAGCAAUCAUUGUGGUCUACAUUGGUGUGGCAAGACGAUGCUAUCAAGGAAAGAUUACGGUCCUUUUGUAGCUUCACUUAGCUUGUCUCUGUAGCUCUUUGCUUCUUAUUCAUCUUAUUUGUCGUGAUUGGAAUUAUGUAUUAACAUAGGCUUUCGUUUUGUUUCUCUGCAUGCACGAUCUAUUAAAUGACUAUAUUCACCGAUGAGGUGAUGCAAAUGAUAAAAAGAACAAUUCCAAGUGUUUUUUCUAAGAUCCCUUGUUGCAAUAUUCAGCUUCUUUAGCAUUGCAAACUGUAGUUGCUUUUUGUAAGGAAAUAGUGAAAUAAAUGUAGUCUCUUCUCAAUA